rnacentral:rRNA from 1 species
ACCUCCAGAAACACACUCCCAUUUUAGCUGCUAAGCAGGGCUAGGCUUGGUUCGUUUUUGGAUGGGAGACCACCGUGGAACACCAGGAAUCUCCAGGUA